rnacentral:rRNA from 1 species
CAACUUUCAGCAACGGAUCUCUUGGCUCUCGCAUCGAUGAAGAACGCAGCGAAAUGCGAUAAGUAAUGUGAAUUGCAGAAUUCAGUGAAUCAUCGAAUCUUUGAACGCACCUUGCGCUCCUUGGUAUUCCGAGGAGCAUGCCUGUUUGAGUGUCAUGGUAU